rnacentral:rRNA from 1 species
AGGACGAACGCUGGCGGCGUGCUUAACACAUGCAAGUGGUGCGACGAACCAGGGCUUGCCCUGGGGCCAAGCCGCGAACGGGUGAGUAACACGUGGGUGACCUGCCUUCGAGUGGGGGAUAACGUCCCGAAAGGGACGCUAAUACCGCAUGACAUCCUGUCCUUGGAAGGACGGAGAUCAAAGCUGGGGAUCGUAAGACCUGGCGCUUGAAGAGGGGCCCGCGCCUGAUUAGCUAGUUGGCGGGGUAACGGCUCACCAAGGCUACGAUCAGUA